rnacentral:rRNA from 1 species
UACGUAGGGGGCAAGCGUUAUCCGGAAUCACUGGGCGUAAAGGGUGCGUAGGCGGCUCAUCAAGCCAGGGGUGAAAGGCAUUGGCUCAACCAAUGUAAGCCUUUGGAACUGAAGAGCUUGAGUGCAGGAGAGGUAAGUGGAAUUCCUAGUGUAGAGGUGAAAUUCGUAGAUAUUAGGAGGAACACCAGUGGCGAAGGCGACUUACUGGACUGUAACUGACGCUGAGGCACGAAAGCGUGGGUAGCGAACA